CUUUGGCAAAAAAAAAAGAGAGAGAAACAAGAUUCGUUCAAAAAAAAGGUACAGAUAUCCAUUCAAAAAAAAGAAAUAUAUUUUCUUUCUUCUCCUCCUCACAAAAAAGAAUAAUAAUAAUAAUACUCGCGUCCUCCCUUCAUCCAUAUAUCAACUGCGAAGCUUGUCACGCCCCACGACCGCACCACCCGAAACGGUACCAAUUUGGUCCGAUUCGAGGGCGGCGUGCGUGACCGCCGAACGGACAGAGUCUCCCCUGUCCGCCCAAGGCUAACCAACCAGAUUGUGUACAACAAGUCCCCAGGAAUACAACUUGAAUUCAUACACAAUCAAGCAACGGUAAACGAGGGCACAAACAGUGCUAUUUAUCAACAAGAGCAAGCGAUACAAGUAAGAAGCAUACAAGUAUACAAAAGAGAGAAAC
rnacentral:lncRNA from 1 species